GCAGAGGAAAACCCCUGCAGCUAAAAGCAGAGACAUGAUGGGGAGUUAAAGGAAACUUUGACGAACUCAUGGAUCCCACACUGCCAAGAAAAACUUCUAGCGAGACAAGAUCCGCCCGUACCGUAAACCGACACAGGUAGGCGGGGAGAGAAUCCUAAGGUGCGCGGGAAAACCCUCGUUAAGGAACUCGGCAAAUUGCAUCCGUAACCUAGGGAGAAGGAUGGCCCCCGGUCAGUGAAGAGCAGAAACGCUCAGAGCUAAAAGGGGCGGCAGAAAAGAGGCCCAAGCAACUGUUUACCAAAAACACAGGUGCCUGCGAAAGCGAAAGCUGAAGUAUAGGUGCUGACGCCUGCCCGGUGCCGGAAGGUUAAGGAGAGAAGUUAGCGAAAGCGAAGCAUCGAACUGAAGCCCCGGUGAACGGCGGCCGUAACUAUAACGGUCCUAAGGUAGCGAAAUUCCUUGUCGGGUAAGUUCCGACCCGCAUGAAAGGCGUAAUGAUUUGGGCACUGUCUCAACGAGGGGCCCGGUGAAAUUGAAAUACCUGUGAAGAUGCAGGUUACCCGCGACUGGACAGAAAGACCCCAUGGAGCUUCACUGCAGCUUGAGAUUGAAUCCCGGUGACAGAUGCACAGGAUAGGUGGGAGGCGCCGAAGCAUUGCCCUAGGGCGGUGCGGAGCCGAUGUUGGGAUACCACCCUUCUGUUGCUGAGAUUCUAACGCGAGGAGUAACGACCCUGCGGACCCUCUCAGGCAGGCGGUUUGACUGGGGCGGUCGCCUCCGAAAGAGUAACGGAGGCGCCCAAAGGUUCCCUCAGGCCGGACAGAAACCGGCCGAAGAGUGCAAAGGCAGAAGGGAGCUUGACUGCGAGACCAACAAGUCGAGCAGAGACGAAAGUCGGGCUUAGUGAUCCGGUGGUACUGGGUGGAAAGGCCAUCGCUCAACGGAUAAAAGCUACCCUGGGGAUAACAGGCUAAUCUCUCCCAAGAGUUCAUAUCGACGGGGAGGUUUGGCACCUCGAUGUCGGCUCAUCACAUCCUGGGGCUGGAGUAGGUCCCAAGGGUUGGGCUGUUCGCCCAUUAAAGUGGUACGCGAGCUGGGUUCAAAACGUCGUGAGACAGUUUGGUUCAUAUCCAUCGCGGGCGCAAGAAGUUUGAGAGGAGCUGCUCCUAGUACGAGAGGACCGGAGUGGACGGAUCAACGGUGUCCCAGUUGUCACGCCAGUGGCACGGCUGGAAAGCCGCAUCCGGGAAGGAUAAACGCUGAAAGCAUCUAAGCGCGAAGCCAACCUCAAGAUGAGACUUCUCAUCAGCAAUGAGUAAGACCCCUUACAGACGAUGAGGUAGAUAGGUUAUGAGUGGAAGAGCCGCAAGGCUUGGAGCGACAUAAAACUAAUAGGUCGAGGUCUUAACUUA
rnacentral:rRNA from 1 species